UCCUUUGACCCAUUUUUUGCUUCUAUUACACAUAUUUUGUAUGCUUAUCCCUCUCAUGCACGACCACAAACUUGUCUGCCUCUUAAGUCUUAAGUGUCAUCCUAUUGCGAUUGCGAGUCACCAUAAAUGGCCUUGAACCACCACGGUCGUAGGUGGACUUUCCAACCACCACAGACACCAAUGGUGAAAACCAAAUCCAUAUUCGACCUCUACUUGACUUUCUCUUUCAUUCUCUUUUCUUGGAAUCACAGCCACUAUUUAUAUUCGAUUUCAGCCACCACGAUUUUCUUUUUGAAAAACAUAUAUGGUUUUGGAAUCCUUAUGUCAAGAUCUUCGACAAACAAUAUAUAUUUGCUCACAACUGCGAAGUUGAGGUCAAACCUUUUUGGCGCGUCUGUGAAACUUCUUCCCACCGUCUAUUUUGCAACAUUUCGACUCUAUUUUUGUUCCUAAUUUUUUUAUUUAAUUAUUUAACAUUGAUUUUGUGCACCUCAUAAUUUAUCGGUCAUGUUUCGUCUACUGAGUGAACUAGUCGUUGAUUUUCAGAUUUGUUAGUUAUGCAUUGUUGAUAUGUCGUUAUUGCUGAUAAUUCCUAUUGAUUCUUGUAUUUUGUGAAAACCUAAAAAUAAAAUAAGGAGGGGAAGAAUGUUCGAUUCAUGAGUUUAAUAUAUUGAAGGAUGGGCAUAAAUAUCAUAAUUAUUAAAGAUUCAUUUGGGGUUUGCCUCAUACGAGUUAGCCUUAUUUAGUAAAAACCAAAUCAUAAUCUAAAAUUGAUAAUCAUAGGAAUUUAAAUACGAUUUAGAAACCUAUAUAUUUGUUAUGAUUUAAUUUAUGUUUCAUGGUACUAGAUAAUCUUGUGAGAUUUUGUGUUAUUGGUGAUUAUGAAAUCUAUGAGUAUUAAAUUAUUUUGUAAAAUUGAUCAAAUGAAUUAUUGAAUUGGUGUUUUUUUUAAGUAUUUGUAUAAUGUGAAUUAACAUGUGUUAUCUAAGGAGUAUAAUAUCUACUUGAAUUCAUUAGUUGUUGAGUCUUAUAUUUUAUGGUUGAUUUUUUUUUUUACCAUGAUGAUGAUGUAAAUAUGAGAUGUUAAAGUAUGCUCAAAAUUGAUUGUGACAUAUAUGUAUCUUAAUGAACAUUUUGGAAUGUAUAUUGUGAAUUAUUGACUAGUUAUUAUCAAAUGACUAUGAACAAUAUGUGUACAUUGCAUUCGAGUUAUCUAAUAAACAAAUUUGAUUGAGUGAAAUUGUGAUGAAUCCAACUCAUGGUACUCAUGAUGGAGUUGCCUAGGCUGGCGAGAGGAGGGAACUGUGUUAGUGUAUAUGACCUAGUUGAGUGUAUCGUUAUUAUAUAGAGAGGAUCUGACAAGUCCAGUGAUUUUGGAAAGUACAAUUUAAUGAGUCUGAUCAAGGAGGUCUAUUGUUGAGCCUUAAGGCAAGAUAACUUGACCUUGAGAGUAUUUUGGUGGGGAUUCUUAUGUGACUUGGGGGUAGCCUUCCAAAUUUUGGGAGCUACCAUGCAACACAUGCUUACCUUGAUUGUCAGGUAUAUGUAUCUCAGGUUGAGUUGAGAGAAUCUAUGAGAACAUAGUCAAUUUGAAUUGUUCGCCCACUUGUGUGGUGACAUAAUAUCAAACCUCCUAACCAAGUACCUAAUAAUUAGAAUGGUACCGCAUGAAAUAGAAGUGUUGUGUAAUAGUUCAUACAUAACAUUGCAUUAUUGUCUUGAAUACUUCCUUGGGAAUGAUAUGAAUUGAAUUGUUAUAUGAUGAACUUGUCUACUUUGAUGUCUUGAUAUGUUAUAAUAUGGUUUAAUAUGUUUAAUAUUAGUGUUCUUCUAACUUAUAUUAUACUCUCAACAUAGUUUAAAAAGUCACCCAUUUCGUUGUUUGCGUGUGCACGUUGGCAAAAAAACAUAUAUUACAGAUUAUUAGUUGAAGACUAAUGUUAUGAUAGGCGAUACUGGUGGGAAAGUACUUGUUGUAUUUUUAUUGAGUCUUGAACUAGUUUAUGUUUUGUACUCUAUUAAUCAAUUUGUAAUCUUCGAUUUGGAACUGAAAAUUAAUUAUUUCUAAGUUUUGAACAUAUUUUGAUGUUGAAAAUGUUAGUUUAAUAAACAUCAACUAUAUUUGUUCUAAAAAAAUUUUAUACGAGAAUUUUUAUGUAAGUACUAGUGCAUCUUAGAUUAUAUAUAUUUCAACAUGGGGUUUACAAAUUAUUUAGUUGAUUAGGCAAUAGUCCAUAUCCUCACCUUUAAACUUCUUCUUUAAUGUUUCAAUAAUAUUUUAUGAAUAUCUUAUUGAGCAAUUUCCUUUACCGAAAAAGGACUUUAUACAAUGUACACUAGUACAAUUACACCUUAUUACAUUGGCCAUCUUAGAUCGGUUAAUAUACACCAGAUGUAAUAGAAAAGACGACGGCAAAUUUAUCACGUAAAUUUUGUUAAAUCUCUUGCAUUAAACUGUUCUAACAAGCAUUUAAAAAAAACACUUCGGAUAAAUUAAACAUCAAAUUAAAAAUUGCGCGAAUCAACUCUUCGGCCUUCACCUUCGUGAACCAACAUCAUGAAACACAUUCACGUUCACGUUCAACUUCGUAUGCCCUAAGUUUUGCUUUCACUCCCUCCUUCAUGGGCGAAAUCUUCAGCACCGACGAGUCUACAAUUUCUGCUUCCGUACGGGCAACAAUUUUCUUUGUCUCCCCCUUUCAUCUGUCGAGAAGCGUUGCCGUCGAGAAAUGUCGAUUUCUAGUUUCUCCCAAACAGAACAAAAUCACGAAGCCAGAGGGUGCUGUUCUUCUUCAUCAUAUGCUGAGUGCUGAGCUGAGUCAAAAUCAGCCUUCCAAUAUAUAAAUAUGAGUAUAUCUUUUUCAAGGCCCAACCCAACUUAAUAAUCAAAAAGGGUCAAAACUGAAACUAAGAAACCCUAAUUUCAUUUGGGGAAAAACGGCCAACUUGAGACACAAAGGAGGCGGCCAACAUGAAGUUGCAAUGGAGGCGGCCAACAUGAAGUUGCAGAGGAGGCGGCCAAACACGAAGUUGCAAAGGAGGCGGCCAAACACACGAUCGGAACCAGGAUGCGAAAACAGAAACGAUGUGAGGGAACAACGACGGUGAGGACGGUGACGGCAACCUCGGCGACGGUGAGGAUGGUGACAACAACAUCGUCCAAGGGUUACAAAGCAAAGGUCAAUGACAACUACAUCUGAAACAGAAAGGCAGCAACAAAAUAGAGCCAAACACUGCAUCAGAAACAGAGAGGCAGAGAGGCAACAACAGCAACAAAUUAAAAAUUAUUGUAAUUUAAUUUAGUUUGGUUUAAAUCUUAUUGUAAUUUAAUUUUGCCUUUAUUUUAGUUUGUAAUUUGA